rnacentral:pre_miRNA from 1 species
CUCUCCCACAGUGUUUGGCAAUGGUAGAACUCACUCUGGUGGGCUGGAAGGAUCCGGUGGUUCUAGACUUGCCAACAACUGACUGAGAGCUUUGA